AAAAAUUAUCUUACUAUCUUUGAUAUAAGGGUUAUAUAAGAGAAUUAUCUUUUGCUUUAGUAUUUUAUUGAAAAAGUUUGUUUUGUAAUAGUUUAUUAGUACUGUAAAGUAAUGUUGAAAUAUCUUGAAAAAUUAUUUUAUAAAAAGCAUACAUUUUUGUAGUACCUUUUGUAUCAGGGGUGAUUUAAUUUAUCUAAUGUAU
rnacentral:rRNA from 1 species